rnacentral:rRNA from 1 species
AUGAUUGUUUGCUUCUUUCCGGUGUUUCUUCUUCGGGUUGGUUCCGAUAAUGUCGCGUUUGUGAGGAUCCGUUCGACUUCGUCCGUUUGUCUUCUUCAUGGACUCGUCCUUCUCCUUGCAGGAUUUCAGAUGGCCACUCGUGGUCAAAACCAAGUGGUUCGCCUGACUCGGUGCCUCGAUGUGCCUGGUCAUACUGCUAUGUUAGUCCGGGUAAUGAUCGAGACAGGUUACCGUUGGUAUCCCGAAUACAUUGUCGAAGAGCAAUUCCGAGACUUUAAUCAAAGCCAAUAUUUCUGCACCGUCAGGAUAUUUCCUUCUUAUCCUGGAUCUACCGAGCCCCUCCACUGUUCCUAUGGACUCGGGGUUACUGUUGAAAUGGCUGUGCAGGAUGCUGCCUAUUCCAUGAUGACCAUCAUGCGAGUCCGGACUGGCCUGCUUUGGAACACCGACUUCCGUUAUAUGCCAGCUUCACUCUCGGGAGCGCAAGGGUAUCUCCAGGCUAUCUAUGCUGACUCCACAUGUGAGGACUCACUAACUCGCACCACUUCCGAGAUGCUCGAGGAUAAGGACCAAGAGAAUCGGGCCUUGAGACUGGAGCUUUUCAACACCCAUGUUGAUCACUGGGCCACUUUGACUCGGUUUGCACCUGCUGUGCAAGCUAGAUGUAUGGAUACAAGGGAUCUGUAUCUUGUGAGAUCGGCUCUGCCAGACAUGGUGGAUUGGCGUGAUGUGGGAGGCAUCACCCCACCCCGUGGUCCCCGUAGGCCACCAUUUGUUGGUACAAGACCUCAUCCUAGCCCCUAUGGCACACAAGCUCCUCAGGACCGUCUGUUCCCGGAUGAUCACGUUGAACUUCCAGGCUAUGGAGGUGACUUCUAUGAGGACUACUACGGAGCUGUCUGA